GGCCUGUAAAUGGCGUCUAGGGGACGAGGAGCGUUGGGGAGAGAGAGAGAGAAAGCAGGCACCGGUCACUCCGGAACCGGUCUAGGCACCCCGGAAGCGGCACCCAAAGAACGCCGGCCCGAAAGAGGAAGAGGAGAAGAUGCAGAAAAUAGCAGUCUGAAAGAGAAUGUCCUUACUGAAGUCCCCUAGCCAGGAAGCAGCAGGGCCUGGAUUGAAACGCAAGCCUGUCUCACCCUAGAGCAAGCCCACAUUUUUUUCCCCUGGCGGCGGGCAGCCUGCCUGGUGGUGAGUCAGUGGUGCAGACAAGCACCCAGAAACCUGCCUUUUCUCCUUAGUGGCACGAUUGUGUGGAUGUGCCAUGCCCUAACCAUUUCCGUAUUGAUAAACAUUUAGGCUGUUACUGAACUUUGGCUCUUACAAGCAUUUGCUGUGGUUACUAACCUUGUACAUCUGAUUGCAUGUGUGUGAUAGGAUUAUCAGUAAUAUCUUGUUUGAAGUGGAAUUGCAGGGUCAAAGGGUCCACGCUUGGGAAUGUUGAGAGCCAUGGCCACUUGAUGCAUUUUAUUCAUUUCUCCGUUGACUUCGGUGUUCAUUUUAUUCAUUUAUAUGUUGACCGAAUUCUGGAACUCUAGUCAGCUGCCAGGCAUGGCUGUAGGCUGGAGAUCCUACAGGGAAAUAGGCCAGAGCACCUGCCCUCUAGGAGCAGAUAUUCCAGUGAAGCAGAUGAUGUCAGGUAAAAGAUGAGUGGAAGGAUAAGUCAGGAUAAGGAAGUUUCGAGUGACGGAGGUCAGAGGUGGUCAGGGAAGGCUCUCUGAGGAGAUGACAUUUGAGCAGAGUCCUGAACAAAGUUAAGGAACUGAACCGUAUGAAGAUGCUGAAAAGCCGUGGAAAGACCUGAGGAAGAAGCGGAGUGGAGCGGGUGUUCGAAGAUUGUCAAGGUGACCAGAGUGGCUGGAGCAGAGCGAGGGGAAGAGAGAAAGCAUUCUUUAGGGAUGAAGCUAUCGAGAGGGGCCAGGUUACAUAGGGUCUUGUAGGCCACGGGAAGUUACUUGCCGGGCGUAACAGGAAGCCGUUGGAGGGCUGUGAGCAAGGCCCGGCAUGUUGAGAUGUGUGUUUUAUAAACAUCUCUAUAGUGAACACCCUGAAUUAAUGACUGUGGUUGCUUGUGGGGAUGAAGGUUCUAGACAGAUACGGAACAGAGCUGUGAGGACGAGUGUUGAAGACUUCUGCUUUUUUGAGCAAUGUGACUGUUGUCCGUGCACAGAAAAGUUAAAGUAUUAAAGCAGCGCCAGUUGCUGUGAGGAGAAUGGCCUGCAGCUGGGCAGGCAUGGACACAGGUGAUGAGGAAGCCCAUGUCCCUGCCUGGAUGGGAGAUGAUGGUGACUCAGAAAGAGGGUUGUGUGAGAGGAACCAUGAAUCAGGGAUGACUUAAAAGUUAUCCUAAAGGUUUUGGGCUUGACCAACUGGAUGAAGGGUGAUGCUUUUUCACGAAGAUGUGGAGGAGUCCUCUUGGUGGGAAAUCGACAGGCUUUGAACCUGCUGACCCUGAGAUGCUCGCUGGACAUCGAGUAAGGGGCGGCAGUUAGGACAGAAGCCAGGGUUGUAGGCUGAAAAUUUUUUACUGACUUUUCAUUGUGAAAUUUUAUUUUAUUUAUUUUCAAUUUUUUAAAAUGUUUUAUUAUUUGAGAGAGAGAGUGAGUGGGGGGAGUGGGCAGAGAGAGAGGGAGACACAGAAACUGGAGGAGGCUCCGAGCUGUCAGCACAGAGCCUGACUCUGUGGGGCUCAAACUCAUGAACCACGAGAUCUGACCUGAGCGGAAGUCAAACGCUUAACUGCCUGAGUCACCCAGGUGCCCCUCGGGCGUUUUUAAGGUGGGAGGAACUAUAGCAGGUUUGUUUGCCAUCGGCAGUGCUAGAGGGAAAAUGGACAUGGAGACUUAGGAAGCUGUCCUCAAGCAGGUAAUGGGGGUGGUGCUGACAGUGUACAGGGGAGAGAUGGAUUGGCCUUGAAUCAAAGAGGGGCCAGCUCUUCCUGGUAAAAGAAAGUCAUACCAUCUGACAUUCCCUCUGGAUUGUGAAAACCGCCCUUGUUCCUUCUGUGUUGGCAGUUAUUGUGCACAGCGUAAAAGCUCAAGCAAGGUCUUUGGACUGCAGUCUGGUAUUGAUGUAAAUGGUAGGGCUUCCUUUACGAACCAUAAUGAAGAACUGGACAGAUGGUCGUGAUGUUUGUUCUAAGUGGCUGGGGCCAGAGGGAGAGGACGGUGGUGGGCAGUUACAGCAAGGGAUGCUGGGGAAGGAUGGGGAGCCCCCUGGCAGGAGCAGCUGUGACACUGCGAUUUAUAAUAAUCUAUGUGGUCUUUGCCCCUUUUCUGGCUCAUAGCACCUAAAACCCUUGGAAUUUUGUGCGGUGAGAGCAGAGGUGUCUUUUGUUAUGUUAACGAGGUGGUUUUUGGAAAACACUUGGGUAACCUAAAGCUGGGGGCUUGUUGCCAGGGCCCCAACCUUGUAGAGGUUGAAAUAGCCCGUCUGACCCUUGGCCUUCUGGAAAGGGAGAAGGGGUGGUUGGAGCUUGAAUCAAUUGCCAGUGGCCAAUGAUUUAAUCAGUACUGACUUUGUAAUGAAGCCUCCAUCAAAACCCAAAAGGACCAAAAAAAAAAAAACCCCAAAAAACCCCAAACCAAAACCCAAAAGGACAGGGUUGAGAGAACUUCCAGGUUUUAGGGCAUGUGGAGAUUUGGGGAGAGUGGGGCCCCUGGAGAAGGCCUGGUAGCUCCCACCCUUCCCCAUACCUUGCCUGUGUGUCUCAUCCAUCUUCCUGUUCCUGAGUUUUAUUCUGGUUUAUAAUAAUUACUGAUUUACAAUAACCAGGAAUCCAGUAAGUAAAAUGUUUUUCUUGGAGUUCUGUGAGCUGCUAUAGCAGAUGACUUGAACUCAAGGGGGUGUUUGUUGGAACCUGUGCUCUGUAGCUGAUUGGUCCAGAAGCACAGAUGAUAACCUGGACUUGCCACUGGCUUCUGAAGGUUGUGCGGGGGUGGGGGGUGCGGUCUUGUAGUACUGAGCUCUUAAUCUCUGGAAUCUGAUGCUGUCUCCAGGAAGACAGUGUCAGAAUUGAGUUGAAGUAUAGGACAUCCAGCUGGUGUCUGAAUUGCUGGGGGGGGGGGGGGGGGGACCCACAGACUGGAAUUGGGUGCGGGGUCAUUAGCAGCCGGGGUGGGGUGGGAGGAGGCUGAAGGGGGUUGUGGAGCCUGAAGAGCCCCCAAGAUGAGGCCUGUGGGUGUAUUAACACAGUGGAACACUAUUCUGCAAUGAAAAAGAGUGAGCGGCAUGGAUGGAUCUCAUAGCCACCAUGCAGACUCUAAGAAAUCAGUCCACACUAGCAUGAAGAGCAGGGCUGCUUUCAAAGUUGGGCAAAAGAGGUCAGGACGGUGGUUACUGGGGAUGGAGUUGGGUAUUGGCUGGGAGGAAUAUGAGAACCUUUAGAGGGCUGGAAACGUCUAGCUUGAUCUGAGUGGUGGCUGCUCCAGUGAAUAAAUUGGUAAAAAUUCAAUGAGACUGCAUUUAAAAUGUGUGUUUUAAAAACAUAAAAUAAAAUAUGUGUGAUUUACGUAAAAUGGAUCUCCAUAAAAGAAGAAAUGAGCCGAGCCAAAAAGCUAGACUUUGACAGAAGGGCAGGUGGGAGCCACAGAAGUUUGAGCCAGGGCUAGGUCCAGGGACGUGUGAAUGUUGGGAGAGUCCUCAGGGUCCCGGGAUGCAGGUGCAUGGAAGGAGAGAGGCCAGAAUCUGCCUCAGCCUCAGCUCCUGACUGGCUUUCUAACUGCCACCCCUCUCUGGGCCCUCUUUUCCCCAACCAGCCCUCUCAUGGGAGUGGAGGUAAAACAGGAGAGAAGCCCAGACAGAGCAUGUGAGACUGAGCUCCCUGGGGACAGACAUCUGAUUCGUGCCUGUGGCCCUACUAGCCCCUGAUAGAAGUGCUGAUUUUGUGAGGGGGAGUGCAGAAGCUGCCGGAAGGGGGGUCUCAGGACCCAUGCCCCACAUUGGGAAAUGGGUGAAAGUAGCGGGGCAAAUCCAAGAUACUUGAGAACGGGAUCGCUCACGUGUCCUCUUAGUUUCUUAGUGAAAAGCCACUUCUAACCAGUUCCUGCCUUGUCACAGUGAAAACCACCUUAGCUGGAGGUGAGGAAUUUGGGCCCCCCAGGCGUUCAGGGUUUUCAUUCAGUGAUAUUCACUGAGGCCCUGCAUGUGCCAGCCCUUGACAUUGAAGACACGGUAGAGAACAGAAAUGAAAAUACGGUAUUAAUCAUCCCUGAGCUUCUCAAUGGGCCCGUUGGCUAAGUGCUGGGGCUCUGGAGCCAGGCUCCCUGGGUCAGAGCCCAGCUCCAGCUUCUCUACUGUGGCUUUGGGCAGGUUUCUUAAGUCUCUGUCUGCCUCAGUUACUUUUUAUGUAAAACGGGACCACACAAUACCCACUUUGCCUCCUUUUUAGAGAUUUUGUGCGGUCGUUUGGCAGGGGAUCUGGCUGUAACACUGCAAGGAGGGCUUCCUGCAGGGGGAGGGUGUUGGAGAUGUCUUCAGAGGUCCCAUCCAGUUCCUGUCUCCUCUACUGCCAAGUGGGCUGGUGUCCAGAGGAAGGGCAAUUCGUGGCAGUGGGUGGUGCAAGCCCCAGUUUAGCUCCCGGAGCCGAGGGAUGAGGCUAACUAUGGCUUUGCAGGGAAAUCCGAAGAUAGCUCAGCAGAGGAUGACUCCCAGUCGGGCUUCCCCGCAGAGCGAAGGAAGCGAGGGUGAAUCAGCCUCUCAAAGUGGAAUGGAGCCGUUGAGGGAAGUGAUGGGAAGUGAAACCUCCAAGAGGUCCAAGGCCACUCGGCCUCUGACUCACCUCAGGCAGGGCAGAGGGAGGGCUCAGCCACAGGGCAGGGCAAGCUGGGUGUGAAUCUGGGCCCUGUGGCCAGACCUCCAGCCUCUAGACGUGGCCCUUCCUGCAAGCUCAGUUUCUGUAUCUCUACAACGGGGUGGGAAGGGUUUGGUCGAGGUGAUUUACAGGAGGGAAGCACACAGUAGGGCCUCCAGAACUGCUAGCCCCUCCCCCUUUCCUGUCUGAGUCUUAAGCAGAUAAUGAAAUGAGUAUGUUGGGAUAGUUUGGGGUUCUUGUUAGUCUCCUGACCGGUGAGUCGUCAUCUAGGUCCUGGCGAGAUGAGUAGGGGAGGGAGGGCGGCAGGAAAAAGAAAAAGAGCAGCCAUGCACCACAUCUGAAAAAUCAAUAGCGAAAAUAAAAAUGAUGAACUGUC